rnacentral:rRNA from 1 species
GACGGAGGAUGCAAGUGUUAUCCGGAAUCACUGGGCGUAAAGCGUCUGUAGGUGGUUCGAAAAGUCCACUGUUAAAAAUUGAGGCUUAACUUCAAAAGAUGCCGUGGAAACUUUCAAACUAGAGUAUGGUAGGGGUAGAGGGAAUUUCCGGUGGAGCGGUGAAAUGCGUAGAGAUCGGAAAGAACACCAACGGCGAAAGCACUCUGCUGGGCCGACACUGACACUGAGAGACGAAAGCUAGGGGAGCGAAUGGG